rnacentral:tRNA from 1 species
GCUCUAAUAGCUUAAUAAUAAAGCAUUGUUCUUGUAAACCAAAGCUGGGCCCACCCUUAGAGCA